UGGGGAAUAUUGGACAAUGGGGGAAACCCUGAUCCAGCAAUGCCGCGUGAGUGAAGAAGGCCUUCGGGUUGUAAAACUCUUUCGUCUGUGAAGAUUAUGACGGUAGCAGAAGAAGAAGCCCCGGCUAACUUCGUGCCAGCAGCCGCGGUAAUACGAAGGGGGCUAGCGUUGUUCGGAAUAACUGGGCGUAAAGGGCGCGUAGGCGGUCUUUUAAGUCAGGCGUGAAAGCCCCGGGCUCAACCUGGGAAAUGCGCUUGAGACUGGAAGACUAGAGUACUGUAGAGGAGAGUGGAAUUCCUAGUGUAGAGGUGAAAUUCGUAGAUAUUAGGAGGAACACCAGAGGCGAAGGCGGCUCUCUGGACAGUAACUGACGCUGAGGCGCGAAAGCGUGGGGAGCAAA
rnacentral:rRNA from 1 species